rnacentral:rRNA from 1 species
UACGAAGGGGGCUAGCGUUGCUCGGAAUCACUGGGCGUAAAGCGCACGUAGGCGGAUUGCUAAGUCAGGGGUGAAAUCCUGGAACUCAACUCCAGAACUGCCUUUGAUACUGGCGACCUUGAGUCCGGGAGAGGUGAGUGGAACUGCGAGUGUAGAGGUGAAAUUCGUAGAUAUUCGCAAGAACACCAGUGGCGAAGGCGGUUCACUGGCCCGGUACUGACGCUGAGG